rnacentral:antisense_RNA from 1 species
CUUGAUCGACCCGAGCCACAGCGGGUGUUCGGCGUCGCGGUCCCGCCCGUAGGUGGCGAGCAGGGCUUGUGCCUC